GGGUCUUGGCUUAGUGGUAGAUCAUCUGACUGGGAUGCAGAAGGCCCCAGGUUAAAUCCCCAGCAACUCCA